GUGAGGCGUCCGGACUGGCCCAGGGAGGUCGGCAACGACCACCCAGGGCCGGAAAGUUCGUCAAACUUGGUCAUUUAGAGGAAGUAAAAGUCGUAACAAGGUCUCCGUAGGUGAACCUGCGGAGGGAUCAUUA
rnacentral:rRNA from 1 species